rnacentral:rRNA from 1 species
ACGGCGAGUGAAGCGGCAACAGCUCAAAUUUGAAAUCUGGCGCAAGCCCGAGUUGUAAUUUGUAGAGGAUGUUGCUGGCGACGUGCCGUCCGAGUUCCCUGGAACGGGACGCCAUAGAGGGUGAGAGCCCCGUACGGUUGGAUGCCUAGCCUCUGUGAAACUCCUUCGACGAGUCGAG